AAGUCAGCGAGACCAUGAAGCCACCGGAAGGAAGAAACUCCAGACACAUCUGAAGGAACAAAUUCUGAACAAACCAUCUUUAAGAGCGGUAACACUCACCGCAAAGAAAGGUGUCAAGAGUAGCACGGGAAUAUCUCUCUGACCAUCUAGGGGUCUGUUGCUGACUCGGUGCCUCCUUGUCCUGCGUACUCCCAGGUCAGGACAUCGGCUUGACUGGUGGCCACCUGCUGACCUCAGAGCCCUCGGAGCGAAUCCAGCUGUCCAAUUGAAACCAAGCAUGGUCCUCUGCGGCUUGGCCUCUUUUUCUCCCGAGAUGGUUGCGGGGCACUUAUUGGGUGAAGACCCUCAUUCAUUCUGGGGUGUGUCAGGAGUUUCUUCGAGACAGGACCAAGCUAUGAGCCUGUGGCAGGAGCAUCCGAGGCACAGCUCAGCCUCUCCCGUGCUGCACACCCCUGUGUGCAGGUGCCCUUGCCCGCAGCCGCGGCUCCAGGUCCGCGUGGAGUCAGCUGCUGCUGUCAAGCAUUUUCACAGUACAGUUACUGGUCUACUCCAGCACAGUCACGAGGCACCUUGAGAGGCUGCAAAAGACCCCUAAAGUCUUCCGCAUCUUUAUCAUUCCUCAAGGGAUGGGUUCCAGGACCCCCGAGUUUAACCCACCUGCAGGAGCUCAAGUUCCUGAUGUAAAAUGAUGUCGGAUUUGCAAGUAACCUGCACACAUCCUCCCGGUACUUUAAAUCAUCCCUGGAUUAUUCAUUGUACCGAAUACAAUGGAAAUGCUAUGUAAAUAGUUGUUACACUGUGUUGUUAUUUUUAUUUGUAUUUUUUCUAUAUUGUUAUUUUUUAUUCUUUUCCAAGUAUCUUUGAUCCUCGGUUGAAUCUGUGGUGCGGAACCUGAAGACGUGGAGGCAGGCCGUAUUUAUUUCUAUACACUCCUAUUCGUUUUGCAAAUCCUAAAUUCACACAGAUGCCUCCAAACCGAAUCCAAGUCAGAGUUUGUGACAGUUUUCUCUUUUCAAAAUCUGAAACUCUGACAGUAAGACCAGCUCCCAAGGCCUCUGACACAUUUGCAUCGUGGAUCAAUCCCCUUAGGUGACCAUCCCCUUAGGUGACCAUCCCCUGCUGGAGAUGCCCUUCCCUUCUGGCCUGGGCUCGGCUCCCCUGCUGUGUGGACAGCCCUUGCCGGCAAGGGCUCUGAUUCCCCGCAAGGCCACACCAGGCCCCGGCCUCCUGCCCCAGGCUGGGGCUGACUAUGCAGGACACCCCACCCCCACCAGCCUUGGGGUCUCCGAUGCUAAGGUAGGGGCUUUGCACCUG